CCUACGGGUGGCAGCAGUGGGGGAUAUUGGACAAUGGAGGCAACUCUGAUCCAGCGACGCCGCGUGAGUGAUGAAGUUCUUCGGUUUGUAAAGUUCUUUUCGAAGGGAAGAAGGAAGUGACGGUACCUGAGUAAUAAGCCUCGGCUAACUACGUGCCAGCAGCCGCGGUAAUACGUAGGAGGCAAGCGUUAUCCGGAAUGACUGGGCGUAAAGGGUGCGUAGGCGGAAGUUCAAGUCAGCGGUAAAAUGGAGGGGCGCAACCUCGUCGAGCCGUUGAAACUGGUUUUCUUGAGUGAGGGAGAGGUAGGCGGAAUGCGUGGUGUAGCGGUGAAAUGCAUAGAUAUCACGAAGAACUCCGGUGGCGAAGGCAGCAUGCUGGCGCUCAACUGACGCUGAUGCACGAAAGUGUGGGGAGCGAACAGGAUUAGAUACCCGUGUAGUC
rnacentral:rRNA from 1 species